rnacentral:rRNA from 1 species
AGAGUUUGAUCCUGGCUCAGGAUGAACGUUGGCGGCGUGCCUAAUACAUGCAAGUCGAACGAGAAAGUACCUUCGGGUACGAGUACAGUGGCGAACGGGUGAGUAACGCGUUGGUGACCUGCCCCGAAGUGGGGGAUAACAACUUGAAAAAGUUGCUAAUACCCCAUGUGGUCAUGAGAUUUAGAAACUCAUGUCUAAAGGAUUUAUUCGCUUCGGGAGGGGCCUGCGUCCCAUCAGCUAGUUGGUAGGGUAAUGGCCUACCAAGGCUACGACGGGUAGGGGACCUGAGAGGGUGGCCCCCCACAAUGGCACUGAAAUACGGGCCAUACACCUACGGGUGGCAGCAGUAGGGAAUAUUGCCCAAUGGACGAAAGUCUGAGGCAGCAACGCCGCGUGAGCGAUGAAGGUCUUCGGAUUGUAAAGCUCUUUUACGUGGGAAGACGAAGGACGGUACCACGUGAAUAAGGAUCGGCUAACUACGUGCCAGCAGCCGCUGUAACACGUAGGAUUCAAACGUUAUCCGGAUUUACUGGGCGUAAAGCGCGUGCAGGCGGUUUAGUAAGUUGGAUGUGAAAUCUCCGGGCUCAACCUGGAGAGGUCGUCCAAAAACUGCUAAACUAGAGGACGGUAGAGGGAGGUGGAAUUCCAAGUGUAGCGGUGAAAUGCGUAGAUACUUGGAGGAACACCAGUGGCGAAGGCGGCCUCCUGGGCCGUUCCUGACGCUCAGACGCGAAAGCUAGGGGAGCGAACGGGAUUAGACACCCCGGUAGUCCUAGCCGUAAACGAUGUAGACUUGGUGUUGGUGGGGUGAAAGCCAUCAGUGCCGUAGCUAACGCGAUAAGUCUACCGCCUGGGGAUUACGACCGCAAGGUUAAAACUCAAAGGAAUUGACGGGUCCCCGCACAAGCAGCGGAGCGUGUGGUUUAAUUCGAUUUUACGCGAAGAACCUUACCUGGGUUUGACAUAUAAGUGGUAGAGAACCGAAAGGUAAUCGACUCUUCGGAGAGCUUAUACAGGUGAUGCAUGGCUGUCGUCAGCUCGUGCCGUGAGGUGUCCGGUUAAGUCCGGUAACGAGCGCAACCCUCGCUGUAUGUUACAAGUGUCAUACGGGACUGCCGGUAUAAAGCCGGAGGAAGGUGAGGACGACGUCAAGUCAGCAUGUCCUUUAUAUCCAGGGCUACACACACGCUACAAUGGUCGGUACAAUAGGUCGCAAAACCGCGAGGUGGAGCCAAUCCUUAAAGCCGGCCUCAGUUCGGAUUGUAGGCUGCAACUCGCCUACAUGAAGCUGGAGUUGCUAGUAAACGCGCGUCAGCAUUAGUGCGUUGAAUACGUUCCCGGGGAUUGUACACACCGCCCGUCACGUCAUGGAAGCUGGAAACGCCCGAAAUCAGUAUCCCAACCGUAAGGAGGGAGCUGCCUAAGGCGGGGCUGGUAACUAGGACGAAGUCGUAACAAGGUA